UCUCCGUUGGUGAACCAGCGGAGGGAUCAUUAAAGGAUCGAAAGACUCCUAUAAACCCUGUGAACUUACUACAAAUACGUUGCUUCGGCGGGUGCCCCGGGUCUCACGGGGCGUUCAGCCCGCCGGCAGCCUUCAAAUUCUGUUUCUUUGCGUUGGCAUCUCGAGUAUACAAAAAUAAGCUAAAACUUUCAACAACGGAUCUCUCGGUUCUG
rnacentral:misc_RNA from 1 species